rnacentral:rRNA from 1 species
UACGUAGGGCGCAAGCGUUGUCCGGAAUUAUUGGGCGUAAGGAGCUCGUAGGCGGUUUGUCGCGUCUGCUGUGAAAACUCGAGGCUCAACCUCGGGCUUGCAGUGGGUACGGGCAGACUAGAGUGCGGUAGGGGUGACUGGAAUUCCUGGUGUAGCGGUGAAAUGCGCAGAUAUCAGGAGGAACACCGAUGGCGAAGGCAGGUCUCUGGGCCACUACUGACGCUGAGAAGCGAAAGCAUGGGGAGCGAACAGG